CGCACGCAAAAAUGUAAAGAAACUGCCGGCUAUAAGACACCGAAACAACGCAGAGGAGUCGUCUUCGAUCUCGACCGCCGCGGCCAUGGAUUUCUCCAGCUGGGGCGGGGGCGGUGACGGGGCGGAGCGGCUCGCCUCGGUGCCCACGUCGUCCUCCUACUCCUCCUCGGCGCCGCUCGUUGGCGCGGCGGACCAGGCGGUAGCCGAGGGCAUGUGGAGACUCCUCCUCCCGGAUCCCAUCCCAACCCCUCCCCAUGCUCUCGAACGUGUCAACUGACAUGGACUCGUGAAUGCAAUUUGAGGGCGAGGUGGGCGGUGACGGAGGCAACAGAGAUCCAUGCGAAGCCGCUGCUUUCAGGAGCCCAGCGGAUGUGGCCAAGCUAGCUAACGUUGUCCAACCUCUCUUCAGAUGCAUGGCUCCGCAGCUACCAGGACAGGAUCACGCCGGAAAGCAUGUUGUGUACGCCUCCUGGUGCCUGGGGCCGUCCAUCCCUCGCUCCUUCCCGUCAGUGUGGCACAUUGGCAUACAAAGAACGUAACCUCGGCGUACGGAGUCGUCCUCUCGCCUCCAUCAACCAAAUUCCACCGUCACCAUGUUGUGAUACCCUGUGUCGCCAUCAUCGCGUCAUCAAACUGACGUUCACCAUGCCGACCUGUUUCGACACGUCGACUAACGUGGGGGCUUCAUUGUCACACUGCCGAACUACCCUGUCUCCUCGGCUGGACCGGGGGCUUCGCCUCGGCACUUCGGCACUGUCGUGCUAUCACUUCGUCAAGCCGAGCUCUUCGCUCGGGUACGUCACGGCCGGCUUGGGGGCUGGGACUUCGUCCCGCCGUAAGCUCUGGCCGCACAUCGACACCGAGCACAUUAACCAGCUAAGUCGCUUUCAUGCUCAGUUUUUUCUCUAAUUCUUGUUCGGUUCGACCAAGCAUUAUAUUUAUGUUAAAAUAUGUUUGUUAAAAACGAGGUCCAUUAGAAACUGUCUUUCUUUGCCCAGGUUAACUGGGGGCUCUUAAAUUUAUGUGAGCUGUUUUAUAGUAAGUGUUCUUUUUCUUA